CCCCCAGUAGCGGCGAGCGAACGGGGAGGAGCCCAGAGCCUGAAUCAGUGUGUGUGUUAGUGGAAGCGUCUGGAAAGGCGCGCGAUACAGGGUGACAGCCCCGUACACAAAAAUGCACAUACUGUGAGCUCGAUGAGUAGGGCGGGACACGUGGUAUCCUGUCUGAAUAUGGGGGGACCAUCCUCCAAGGCUAAAUACUCCUGACUGACCGAUAGUGAACCAGUACCGUGAGGGAAAGGCGAAAAGAACCCCGGCGAGGGGAGUGAAAAAGAACCUGAAACCGUGUACGUACAAGCAGUGGGAGCACAGAGCAAUCUGUGUGACUGCGUACCUUUUGUAUAAUGGGUCAGCGACUUAUAUUCUGUAGCAAGGUUAACCGAAUAGGGGAGCCGAAGGGAAACCGAGUCUUAACUGGGCGUUAAGUUGCAGGGUAUAGACCCGAAACCCGGUGAUCUAGCCAUGGGCAGGUUGAAGGUUGGGUAACACUAACUGGAGGACCGAACCGACUAAUGUUGAAAAAUUAGCGGAUGACUUGUGGCUGGGGGUGAAAGGCCAAUCAAACCGGGAGAUAGCUGGUUCUCCCCGAAAGCUAUUUAGGUAGCGCCUCGUGAAUUCAUCUCCGGGGGUAGAGCACUGUUUCGGCAAGGGGGUCAUCCCGACUUACCAACCCGAUGCAAACUGCGAAUACCGGAGAAUGUUAUCACGGGAGACACACGGCGGGUGCUAACGUCCGUCGUGAAGAGGGAAACAACCCAGACCGCCAGCUAAGGUCCCAAAGUCAUGGUUAAGUGGGAAACGAUGUGGGAAGGCCCAGACAGCCAGGAUGUUGGCUUAGAAGCAGCCAUCAUUUAAAGAAAGCGUAAUAGCUCACUGGUCGAGUCGGCCUGCGCGGAAGAUGUAACGGGGCUAAACCAUGCAC
rnacentral:rRNA from 1 species